GUAAAAUUAGUUUAAUUGGUAAAAUUACGUUUUGUGGCAACGUUGAAAAGAGUUCAAAUCUCUUAUUUUACC
rnacentral:tRNA from 1 species